rnacentral:tRNA from 1 species
GGACUCGUUGCACAGCUUGGAUAGUGCGAGCGGCUUCGAACCGCUAGGUCGAGGGAUCGAAGCCCUCCGAGCCCU